AUGACCAAUACUCACAAAACACACCCGCUAAUAAAAAUUAUUAAUUACUCAUUCAUUGAUUUUCCCACACCAUCUAACAUUUCUACAUGAUGAAACUUUGUUUCACUUCUUGAUGCCUACCUAACCCUCCAGAUCAUUACAGGACUAUUUUUGGCCAUGCACUACACAUCAGACACCUCAACCGCCUUCUCUUCAGUCGCUCACAUCUGCUGAGAUGAAAACUACGGCUGAAUGAUCUGCUAUUUUCAUGCUAAUGGCACUUCAAUAUUUUUCAUCUGCCUCUUACUCCAUGUUGGCUGGAGCUUAUACUAUAUAUCAUUUACAUUUCUAGAAACCUGUAAUAUCAGCAUUAUCCUCUUACUCACAACUAUGGCAACAGCAUUCAUAGGCUACCUGCUCCCAUGAGGCCAGAUAUCAUUCUGAGGUGCCACAGUAAUUACAAAUCUACUAUCGGCCAUCCCAUGUAUCGGAACUGACUUUGUGCAAUGAAUCUGAGGUGCAUUCUCAGUUGACAAAGCUACCCUUACACGAUUUUUCACUUUCCAUUUUCUCUUACUCUUCAUCAUUACAGCUCUAGCAGCUGUUCACCUUUCAUGCCUUCGUGAAACAGGAUCUAAUAACCCUUCCGGGGUUUCAUCCAACUCCAACAAAAUUACCAUCCACCCCUAGCAUACAACCAAAGAUAUUUUAGGUUUAAUUAUUCUCCUCCUCCUUCUAAUAACUCUAGUACUGUUUUCGCCUGACCUCCUGGGCGACCGAGAUAACUAUGCUUUAGCCAAUCCUCUAAACACCUCACUCCACAUUAAGCCAGAGUGGUACUUUUUGUUUGCCUACACAAUCAUAUGCUCCAUCCCUAAUAAACUAGGAGACAUACUGGCCCUUGUAUGCUCCAUUCUCAUUCUAGCAGUUAUUCCUGUACUUUACGUGUCUAAACAGCAAAGUGUAAUAUUCUGACCGUUGAGUCAACAUCUAUUCUGAAUUUUAGUGGCUGACCUAUUUACACUCACAUGAGUUGGAGGGCAGCCAGUCAAAUACCCUUUUAUUGCCAUCAGGUAGACAGCAUCUAUUAUGUACUUUUCUACCAUCCUCACUCUUAUACCACUCACUGGCCUAAUUGAAAAUAAACUACUUAAA
rnacentral:lncRNA from 1 species